CCUACGGGGGACAGCAGUAGGGAAUUUUGCGCAAUGGGGGAAACCCUGACGCAGCAACGCCGCGUGAUCGAUGAAGCCCUUCGGGGUGUAAAGAUCUGUUAGUGGGGACGAAACCUGACGGUACCCACAGAGGAAGCACCGGCUAACUCCGUGCCAGCAGCCGCGGUAAUACGGGGGGUGCAAGCGUUCUCCGGAAUCAUUGGGCGUAAAGAGUUCGUAGGUGGCACGUUAGGUCUGUUGGUAAAGCCUUAGGCUCAACGUCCGUAGGGCACUGGAAACUGGCGUGCUUGAGUGCGGGAGAGGUAAAGGGAAUUCCUGGUGUAGCGGUAAAAUGCGUAGAUAUCAGGAGGAACAUCGGUGGCGUAGGCGCUUUACUGGGCCGUAAUUGACACUGAGGAGCGAAAGCCGGGGUAGCAAAUGGGAUUAGAUACCCCUGUAGUC
rnacentral:rRNA from 1 species